UAGGGAAUCUUCCACAAUGGACGCAAGUCUGAUGGAGCAACGGCCGCGUGAGUGAAGAAGGUUUUCGGACCGUAAAGCUCUGUUGUUGGUGAAGAAGGAUAGAGGUAGUAACUGGCCUUUAUUUGACGGUAAUCAACCAGAAAGUCACGGCUAACUAUGUGCCAGCAGCCGCGGUAAUACGUAGGUGGCAAGCGUUGUCCGGAUUUAUUGGGCGUAAAGCGAGCGCAGGCGGAAGAAUAAGUCUGAUGUGAAAGCCCUCGGCUUAACCGAGGAAUUGCAUCGGAAACUGUUUUUCUUGAGUGCAGAAGAGGAGAGUAGAACUCCAUGUGUAGCGGUGGAAUGCGUAGAUAUAUGGAAGAAUACCAGUGGCGAAGGCGGCUCUCUGGUCUGCAACUGACGCUGAGGCUCGAAAGCAUGGGUAGCGAACAGGAUUAGAUACCCUGGUAGUCCAUGCCGUAAACGACGAGUGCUAAGUGUUGGGAGGCUUCCGCCUCUCAGUGCUGCAGCUAAACGCAUUAAGCACUCCGCCUGGGGGAGUACGACCG
rnacentral:rRNA from 1 species